CCUACGGGCGGCUGCAGUAGGGAAUUUUCGGCAAUGGGGGAAACCCUGACCGAGCGACGCCGCGUGAACGAAGAAGGUCUUCGGAUCGUAAAGUUCUGUUACAAGGGAAGAACGACAGUAAGAGUGGAAAGCUUACUGUGUGACGGUACCUUGUGAGAAAGCCACGGCUAACUACGUGCCAGCAGCCGCGGUAAUACGUAGGUGGCGAGCGUUAUCCGGAAUUAUUGGGCGUAAAGAGUGAGCAGGCGGCAGUCAAAGUCUGGAGUUAAAACGUGUGGCUCAACCAUACGUUGCUUUGGAAACUAGACAGCUAGAGUGCAGGAGAGGUUAGCGGAAUUCCAUGUGUAGCGGUAAAAUGCGUAGAUAUAUGGAGGAACACCAGUGGCGAAGGCGGCUAACUGGCCUGUAACUGACGCUCAGUCACGAAAGCGUGGGGAGCAAAUAGGAUUAGAUACCCCAGUAGUC
rnacentral:rRNA from 1 species